rnacentral:lncRNA from 1 species
GCUACGAAGAUACUUGUUAGGGGGUGCAAUACGUCAGAUUUAGAAAAAGAGGGGCCAACAGCUGCGUAGGAUACGCCAGCAUGUGAUUUUGAUGAG